rnacentral:rRNA from 1 species
AGUGGCGGACGGGUGAGUAACACGUAUCCAACCUGCCGAUGACUCGGGGAUAGCCUUUCGAAAGAAAGAUUAAUACCCGAUGGCAUAGUUCUUCCGCAUGGUAGAACUAUUAAAGAAUUUCGGUCAUCGAUGGGGAUGCGUUCCAUUAGGUUGUUGGCGGGGUAACGGCCCACCAAGCCUUCGAUGGAUAGGGGUUCUGAGAGGAAGGUCCCCCACAUUGGAACUGAGACACGGUCCAA